UACGAAGGGGGCUAGCGUUGUUCGGAAUCACUGGGCGUAAAGCGCACGCAGGCGGAUAGAUAAGUCAGGGGUGAAAUCCCGGGGCUCAACCUCGGAAUUGCCUUUGAUACUGUCUAUCUUCGAGUUCGGGAGAGGUUGGCGGAAUUCCUAGUGUAGAGGUGAAAUUCGUAGAUAUUAGGAAGAACACCAGUGGCGAAGGCGGCCAACUGGCCCGAUACUGACGCUCAUGUGCGAAAGCGUGGGGAGCAAACAGG
rnacentral:rRNA from 1 species